rnacentral:rRNA from 1 species
CAGCAGCCGCGGUAAUACGUAGGGUGCAAGCGUUGUCCGGAAUUAUUGGGCGUAAAGAGCUCGUAGGCGGUUUGUCGCGUCUGCUGUGAAAUCCCGAGGCUCAACCUCGGGCUUGCAGUGGGUACGGGCAGACUAGAGUGCGGUAGGGGAGAUUGGAAUUCCUGGUGUAGCGGUGGAAUGCGCAGAUAUCAGGAGGAACACCGAUGGCGAAGGCAGAUCUCUGGGCCGUAACUGACGCUGAGGAGCGAAAGCGUGGGGAGCGAACAGGAUUAGAUACCCCCGUAGUCCUUGUCUCUUAUAA